CAACUGGAUGGAAAAAAACAAAAACUUUUCGUCUUUCGUGUUCCCCCAGUUCAACUCCCAGCACUCAGAAGCAACAAAAAAGUCCUCUCCGAGCAGGGUCCGACAUACGGACAAACAUUUUUAAAUCAAACAGGAAGAAGCACACCAGCGAUGUUCGCAAUUGCGCCGGGAGCUGGAGGAGCAAUGCCGUCAUGCUGGGAAGAUUCCCGUACGACUUUCUAGCAGCUACGCCAACAUCCCGCCCGUGUAAUCAAAAUUAAAUCACCCCCUGAUGGAGGAGUUAAUAUGUAAAAAAAUUAUGACGUUCAAGUGAAUAAAAUAGAAAUUCAUAAAAUUUAAAAA